GUUUGGUCUGGACGUGCGAACGAGAGAAGGAACCAAGGGAACCAAAACCCUAAACAACCUAAAAUCAUCAAAUUGAAAGGGGGAUCGAGGGCUGAUUGAAUGCAUGAGUCUAGAUACCCUUUAAUCUAAGUGUAUUGAUCAUAAGGAACGUGUCAAGGAGAGCUCAAGCAUAGGAGGAUAACGGGUCAAGAUAAGGCAAGGUGACAAAUACACUUAUUGGAAUACUCAAGGUAAGUGAUUUCUAUAAUCACUUCUUUAGUUGUUUAAGUAAUAUAAUGUUUUAAUUAUUAAGUUCAUAUGAAGUUGAGGUUAAAUCAAUGGAUUAUUUUGAUAAAUGCACGAAUGGGUCGAAUAAUUCAUAGAUGAAUAACAAGCCGAAUACGUAUAAGUUAAGGAAUUCCUUAACUCGGAUGCUGGACUUCAAGAUCACGUGAUAGAAUAUUAAAUUACAAUCAUAUAGGAAGAAACGUGACGCAAAACGGACGAAAAAUGAGAGAGUUAUGUCCGUUUCAGUAAGGAUUAAUGGCUAGGAAAAGUGCAGAGUUGACACGGCCGGGUGGUGAACUGACACGGCCGGGUGAAGGUUCUGUCAAAAAUAUUAUUUAUGUGAUUUAUGCGCCGUAGGCUUCGGUAUAUUAUCCGUGAACUACGACGGGCCUCCCAAACAUGAUGUCGAGUGUUUCCUUGAUGAUUAUAAGUUGUAAACCCAAGUCUAAGCCUCAUGUAAUUUAUAUAAGAGUGUGAUAGAUGUAUGUAAUGAAGUUGGACAUGUAUUACAUGUAAAUGUAUACAAAAAUACGUACGGAACACGUAGGUAUGAAUACAUGAUUGUAAGUAUGAUUAAAUGUAUAUUAGGUAUGUAGAUGUGUAUGAUUGUAAGUUUGUAUGUGUGCAAGUAUGUGCGAAUGCAUGAUUCGGAUGCAUUUGAGAAUUAGCGUUACUAAUAAUGCCCUUGGGUUUGGAAUAUAAGUUGAUUGGAUGCAUUUAAAUGGUUAACGUCCUUUUUAUGAAGAUGUAGUAAAUGAAUAUGUUGAGAUUACGGGUUUGGCUAACCAAGUUAUUAUUGAGUAUGUUUGAAAGUGCAGGUGAUGAAUGUCGGACUUUCGAAGUGUUGAUAUAAUAAUGAAACGGUUGAAUGUUGAAAGGAUAAUCGGACUGAAGUAACUUAUGCGGUAAAUCCUCAAUUUUGGCGACUUGGAGAAUCGGAGCGAGCGCGUGUUCGUGUUAUGCGAUACCAAACGCUUCCGCUAGUUUGUUCAAAUGUUUUUGACCCAAAAUUUGUUGUAUUGGUUUUUAGUAGUAUCUUGUUGAACGAAUUGUAGAAUUGUAUCUAGUUUGUUUAUGUUUAAAACAGGGGUAUGCUCGUUUUAUGGACGGGUCAUGCCCGAUUUUUUGUUAAAUUAUAGUUUGAUAAUAUCACAUUUAGGAAGGUGAAAUUUUGGGCGUAACAUCUUCAGAAACGAAAAUGAACUAACGGAGUCAUUUUCAACGGUUGCUUCAUCAGAGUUGGAAAUGAAGGUUUACACAACGGAUAUUCAUUUCCUCAACGGGUAAAUCUUCAGAAACGAAAAUGAACUAACGGAGUCAUUUUCAACGGUUGCUUCCUCAGAGUUGGAAAUGAAGGAUUACACAACGGAUAUUCAUUUCCUCAACGGAUAAUCUUCAGAAACGAAAAUGAACUAACGGAGUCAUCUUCAACGGUUGCUUCCUCAGAGUUGGAAAUGAAGGAUUACACAACGGAUAUUCAUUUCCUCAACGGAUAAAUCUUCAGAAACGAAAAUGAGCUAACGGAGUCAUCUUCAACGGUUGCUUCCUCAGAGUUGGAAAUGAAGGAUUACACAACGGAUAUUCAUUUCCUCAACGGAUAAUCUUCAGAAACGAAAAUGAACAAACGGGGUCAUCUUCAACGGGUAUUCUUCAGAUUUGGAAAUGAAGGAUAAACGGAUAUUCAUUUCCUCAACGGAUAAAUCUUCAGAACGAAAAUGAACAAACGGAGUCAUUUUCCUCAACGAGUAUUCUUCAGAUUUGGAAAUGAAGGAUAAACGGAUAUUCAUUUCCUCAACGGAUAUUCUUCAGAAGUGAAAAAUGAAUAGCUAGUUCAUUUUUCCUCAACGGAUGCUUCAUCAGAAUUGGAAAUGAAUAGGGUUAACUCUAGACACAUGACAGAACUUGCUGUGAUUUCUGUGCACUAAAUUCCAUAAUUAUGUAUGCAUCCAUAAUUACGUAAUCCCUUGCACAGUCCGCACAGUUUGUUUUGUAAUGUUUUGGGGAAGGAUAUCAAACUUGUGACGAGGGUGACUAGACUUCCAUCGGUUCCUUUUAAUUAGAUCGACAGGGGAUCCUCUUGGUUAGGCCACCAAGGAGUCCUUUCAGCUAUAUCAUCACAUGAUAUCCCUAACCAGAUUUUUGGAUGAAUCUGUUUAGCUAGACCACUCAAGGGGUCUAAUUAUGAAGUAGUACUUUAUAAUCCGAGGGACUUAACUAUAACAUAGAAGUCCAUUGAGGAUUUCUAAGUAAUACCUUUGGGCAUCCUACUAUGAAUCUCUUGUACACGGAUAUGUAAGAUUCUACGAAGAUUUGGAUAACAUAAUUUGGAUCAC
rnacentral:lncRNA from 1 species